AAGGGACACAAUUUAAAGUGAGCCUAUGUUGAAAGUGUGGUUUCUCUUCUCAUAGGGAACAUUUUCUGAUGUAUAUUUAGGAAAAUACUAUGUUAACAGAUUUAAUCAUCUGUAUCAAGGGUCAGCAAAUAUUUUUCAGUAUAGGGCCAGAUAGUAAAUAUUUUAGGCCUUAUAGGCCACGCAGUCUGUCAUAACUACUCAACUCUGUUGUUGUAGUGCUAAAGCAGGCAUAGACAGUGCAUAAUCAAAUGAGCAUGGCUGUGUUCCAAUAAAACUUUAUUUACAGGCCUCUUUGCCAACUAUAUAAAAGGAUGCUGUUCUGAUGGUGGAAUUUUGGGUCCUGUAUCCCUAUUAGUUACCAUUACUGUCCUAAACACAAACCCUUAUGACCUCACACAUACCUUCCUGUGUUGCCCUCUUUGUCAACCUCCUCAAGCCAUGCCCUCCUCUCUUUUCUCUUAACAGUCGCUGUGUCAGUUAUCCUAGCCACAAUAAUGCCACGCAACAAACAAAAAACUUUAGUGGCACCCAGUACAAAGUUCAUUGCUCCUAAAUCUGGGGUCAGAUGGAGGCUGGCCAGGUGAAUCUCCAGAUCUUGGCUCUGCUCACUUUCUUGCCUGGGGCUGUGCUCGCUGAGGUGGCUUGGCUCCAGUGGACUAGCUACGCUAGACACAGGCAAAAGUAUGGAGGAGAGCAGAAACCUGCAAGGCUUCUUGAAGCCUGGGCUCAAACUGGCACACUUUCCCUUCUGCCUCUUUCCCAUUGGAUGAGUCCAGAUUCAAGAGAUUCUCUGAAACAUUUGUCUGGUGUCCCAGCAGUUACCACUCUCCUCUUCACAGCAUUUGGAAAAGCCUACAUUAUUUUCAGAUUCUCUUCUCUGAGAAUUCUCAGCUCUUUCUUUAUCAAUAUGGUCAUCUGUAACCUGCAGUACUACAGUAAAUCUAAAAAAGGAAAACAAAAAAGUGCUUAUUGGACUCUCAAUGGCCUACCUUUGAAAAUAGCCCCAAGUAAGGGGAAAACUCUGUGGAGCUGAAAGGAAAAUACCCAUGCAUCACCUGACUUCCCCUUUUUCCACAGUAGGUGGGCCAUGCUACUUUCUCCAUCCUUGCUGCCCAUUCAGCUUGGUCACAUGACAAAGCUCUCUCCAAUGGAAUGAGAGCAGAGGUGAUGUGAGCCACUUCUAGGCCUGGUCCAUGAAACCACCUGUGACUUUUGCUAGGAUAGACUUCCUCUAACUGAAUAAAAAUCUAUAUCCCUAUUAUUGCUGUUUGCUGAUCUUAGUUAAUUUUUCUGAAAUAAGAUAAGCCUACCCCUUCUUCCUCACCCCUCUUUAGGGCCCUUUCUAACUCUAAAUAUCUAUGAUUUCAUAACUGAGUUCAGAAUGCCCAUUCAAAAU
rnacentral:lncRNA from 1 species